GCGAUCAUACCAGCACUAAUGCACCGGAUCUCAUCAGAACUCCGAAGUUAUGUGAGCAUGGGCGAGAGCAGAACUAGGAUGGGUGGCCCCCUGGGAUGUCCUCGUGUUGCACCU
rnacentral:rRNA from 1 species